rnacentral:rRNA from 1 species
UACGUAGGGUGCGAGCGUUGUCCGGAAUUAUUGGGCGUAAAGGGCUCGUAGGCGGUCUGUCACGUCGGGAGUGAAAACACGGGGCUUAACCCCGUGCCUGCUUCCGAUACGGGCAGACUAGAGGUAUGCAGGGGAGAACGGAAUUCCUGGUGUAGCGGUGAAAUGCGCAGAUAUCAGGAGGAACACCAACGGCGAAAGCACUCUGCUGGGCCGACACUGACACUGAGAGACGAAAGCUAGGGGAGCGAAUGGG